GACGAACGCUGGCGGCGUGCCUAAUACAUGCAAGUCGAGCGAGUCUACCAGGAACAUCGUCGUGCGUGCUCUGUGUGGGACAGGUGAGUGACUAGCGGCGAACCUAUGUGUAAGACUUGGGUAACUUGCGGAAGACAGCGCUAUAACAGGUGGAUACAUAUGCUAAUAUCGGAUAAUAACAGAUGAUGGCUAUCAACUGAUUAAAAGAUGGUUCUGCUAUCCCUCUUGUAGUGACCUGCGCUGCAUUAGCUAGUUGGUAAGGUAACGGCCUACCAAGGCAACGAUGCAUAGCCGACUUGAGAGGGUGAUCGGCCACACUGGAACUGAGACACGGUCCAAACUCCUACGGGAGGCAGCAGUAGGGAAUCUUCCGCAAUGGGCGAAAGCUUGACGGAGCAACGCCGCGUGAGUGAAGAAGGUCUUCGGAUCGUAAAACUCUGUUAUUAGGGAAGAACGAAUGUGUAAGUAACUAUGCACUGUUUGACGGUAAUCAAUUAGAAAGUCACGGCUAACUACGUG
rnacentral:rRNA from 1 species